rnacentral:lncRNA from 1 species
CAAUAUGUGCAGUCUUAUAAGUCUAAAUUUAAAUGGUUUUUAUAAUCUAUAACAUGUGUAGCUUGUUCAUUCUACUUUAUUUAAUUUUUAUAUAUAGAUAUAUCAAAAGAAAAUUCCGAUAUCGAAACAGAACUAAAUCUAAAUAAAACUGGCAGUGUACCUUUGAUAAACUCUAAAUCAAAUAAGAGCUUUAUUGACAGCCAUAAAAAGGCAUUAGAAAAUUUUCAAAAGGAUGAUGCAAAUUUUGAAUGUACAUAUAAUUGUAAAAGCGAAAAAGGACAAAAAAGUUCAAACUUGAGCACAAAAAUUAAUGAUUUAAAUAUUGAACAAUGUCAACUGUGUUUAAUGCCUAAUACGGAAUCGUUACAUGGAAAUUUUCCUCCCCUCUUUUAUAAACUAAGUUGUGGUAUGCUUAUAAAUUUAACGAUGUAUUUUCUCGCAAUUACAUACACAUUAAGAGUAAAAACAUUCUUGAUCUUUACCAAAUCUUAAUCAUAAUUUAAUCCACAUUUAAUCCGAUAUUAGUUUUAUCUAAACCCUAUUUGAACCCUAACUUAACCCUAACCCAACCAUAUUAAAUAACAUUUAUAUUUGUUUAUUUUGUUUGUUCAGAUCACGUUUUUCAUUUAAUGUGUAUCUAUGAAACUGUUAUACGAAGGGAAUGUAGAAAGGUAUUUAAAAAAAACAAAUUAUGAAAAUAGUAAUAAUAAUUAAAAAAAUUAAUGUUUUAAUUCUCCGCAUAUUAAUUAUAAGCAUUAAAUAAUUUUUU